CUGAAAGACAAGGUUAUGGGCCGGACUGCCAUUCCCAAAGAAACAUCCAGGAGGCAGAGCGGCAUGGAGGCAAAACAAAGCAAAGCCCCGUAGCCCCGAACUACUGCAUCAACAAUAAUAUGUUGUGGAUCUUCCAGAACCCGGCUCAGAGUGUGAGUCCCUAGAAGGGAAAACGAAGCCCUGAGACGAUACAGGUUUAACCAUCACAAAGCCUUCACACCAUACAACACUGAACACACAAUGCAGCGUGGCCACUGACUCCACUGCCUUUUACGCAGGAGGGAGGACAGUGGCAGAUUCGUUCUGCAGCAAGGCUCUGGCAGGGCGUCAGCAGGAUCAUUGCAGAAGUGCAAAAUUCAUUGUGGAGAAAGGGGAGGCUGGAGGAAACAGAGGGUCCAGUAUGAGAGCUGCUCCACGCUGCAUCUUUUGAGUGCUUCGUGUUGGGGCGGGGGGGCCGUUGAAAGUGGCUGUGAGACAAAGAAAGUCAGUAGAAGAUGUUAAUACACUCUUGGCAGGGGCACAAAAGAGUGUAUUAAUGGGGCUAUCUGCUCGCUUCCAGUUCUCCCUCUCUUCUGGCUGUUAUGGAAAUAUUUGGCUUGCAUCUCUCUCUAUCUGACAGCUUUGCUGACUCUUAAGGAAUGAAAACCUCGGGAGGCUGGGAGACUUUCCACUCCUCCCUUUCUUUUCUGGUUGCUUUAAAAUUCUUGGUAAUAGCCAGCCACCGUGAGACAAGGCCCCUCCGACGGCGCUCCCUGGGCUAGAGUGAGGUGACGCGACUCAGCGCGGCGGACAACGGUCCCAUUCACUGGAGAAAUACCACAGCAGAAUCACAAGUGCGCGAGAAUAAACAAGGCUGGAGUUAAUCUAAAGUUGUUUUACACUCUGUUUUAUUAAAGUCAAUGCAUU